GAUGAACGCUAGCGAUAGGCUUAACACAUGCAAGUCGAGGGGCAGCACAAGGUAGCUUGCUAUCUGGGUGGCGACCGGCGCACGGGUGCGUAACGCGUAUGCAACUUGCCCUAUACAGGAGGAUAACCCGUCGAAAGACGGACUAAUACUGCGUAUGCUCACAACUUGGCAUCAAGUGGUGAGGAAAGAAAUUCGGUAUAGGAUAGGCAUGCGUCCCAUUAGCUUGUUGGUGAGGUAACGGUUCACCAAGGCAACGAUGGGUAGGGGAACUGAGAGGUUUAUCCCCCACACUGGUACUGAGACACGGACCAGACUCCUACGGGAGGCAGCAGUGAGGAAUAUUGGUCAAUGGGCGCGAGCCUGAACCAGCCAAGUCGCGUGAAGGAUGACUGUCUUAUGGAUUGUAAACUUCUUUUAUACGGGAAUAACAAGAGUCACGUGUGACUCCCUGCAUGUACCGUAUGAAUAAGCAUCGGCUAACUCCGUG
rnacentral:rRNA from 1 species